rnacentral:lncRNA from 1 species
GGGUUCUACUCUGGAAAGGCAUCUUGGAAACCUGGAAGAGAAGAGGGGCUAGGCGGUGCGAGAGGAAGAUGUAGCUAAGACAGUCAUUCUGAUCAAAGCUCAAUUUUACUAUUCCGACACGCAGUUAUGAAGGAGGGGAAGGGGGCCCAAUUCCCGCCAAAUAAUCCUGGAGUCCAGUAGCAGGGUGACCACGUGUAUGGCUCCGGAACAGCAAAGCAGCAGGCUCCAGCAGUGGGCAUGGCAGAACAUUGAGAGGCAAGCUCCAUCCCAAUGUAAACAGUGGAACCUGAGCAGUGAAAUUCCCCAAUGUCAUUGGAAACCAGACAGGAAAUGUCAAAGUGCUUUCCAUCCAGAAGUGGCAGAGAUGACAGCAGGAGGACACACAGCACAGGACUGGACUGCAGCUGCUGGUUCCUGCAUGGUGUCUGCCUACCGAGGACUGGACUGCAGCUGCUGACUUGCUACAGACUGAACCACUGGCAAAGAAAAUUGAGCUCCCCUCAAAGAACUACUGCUAAACAGAUGUUGUCACUAAAUCUGAAGCUCACUGAUUCAAAUAGGACAGCUGGCCAAAGAACUCCCAAGAUCCUCCUGUCUCUACCUGCUGCAGCCCCACAUUGUCCCCGCAGCAUGGGGAGUCAAGAUACAAAAUACCAAGCCUGGCUUUUCAAUGUGGAUUUGUGGGGAUCCAACUCAGAUCUGUAUCCUUAAAUGGAAGGCACUUCAUUCACUGAGCCAUCUCCCCAGUCCCUUCAUUAGGCUUUGCAAUGCUUAAUCUCUGGUUAAGAAAUGCUGCUGAAAUAUAUUGAUCAUAAUGUGGGA